GACGAACCGUGCAAACGUUGUUCGGAAUCACUGGGCUUAAAGGGCGCGUAGGCGGGUUCGUAAGUCUGUGGUGAAAGCCCCCAGCUUAACUGGGGAAGUGCCAUGGAUACUGCGAGUCUUGAGGAGGGUAGGGGCAUCUGGAACACUGGGUGGAGCGGUGAAAUGCGUUGAUAUCCAGUGGAACUCCGGUGGCGAAGGCGGGUCUCUGGGCCGAUGACUGACGCUGAGGAGCGAAAGCGUGGGGAGCGAACAGG
rnacentral:rRNA from 1 species